rnacentral:snoRNA from 1 species
AUGACACGCAAAUUUGUGAAGUGUUCCAUAUUUUUGUGUAGAGCACCGGAAACCACGAGGAGGAGGUGCAGCGUUCUCUCCUGAGCGUGAAGCUGGCCCUGGGCGCUGCUCUGUGCAACUGCCCUUUGCCAUUGAUGAUCUUUCUUCUCUCCCCCGGGGGAGUAAGAGGGAGAGAAUGCAGUCUGAGUGGG